AAGGGUCCAGAUUAAAAUCCUUUUGUGUUUCUUUCUUCUUCUUUUUUUCUCUUUUCCGCUCUCCUUCGUCUGAUCUUUCUUCUUUCAUUCUAUCUCUUUCUCUGUAACAAUCGACUCAUGUAUUCACCUCCUCACCAUCACCACCGGUCGACCUCUCUUUGUCUUCCUCUUCUCUGGCUUCACCUUCGCUAUUUCUAAUUGAUAUGUUUUGUUUUGUUUAUAGAUCUGAGAAGGAGCAGUGAUGAACCUUCAAGGAGAAUGUGGGUGACGGAGACGACAGUGUGACGGUAAAAUUCUUCAUUGAUCAAUGCAAAUCUAACCCUUCACUUCUCUCGACUCAUUCCGCGAGUUUCUCAAGGCGUACCAAAUCCUCUCUCUCCUCGUUUACUUCGAUCUAAUCGUCUUUUUAUAUGCUUUAAUUUGUAUCUGUGGUAGUUGUGAUUCAUAAAGUAUUCAUCUUUGUUCUUGACCCUCUUUGUGUUCUUAGAUGCCAAAAAGCAGAGUUCUUGCUUAAUGUUUCAUUUGUUCUUGACUCUCUUUGCGUUUAUAGGUACAAGGUGAAUCUGACGAUGAAGGGAAGGAGAAGUGGUGGUGUGGGAAGAUGAUGAAACGGAAAAAAGAAGUGGUGGUAUGACAGUGUGGCGCCUCCGGUGAAGCGUAGUGCGGCGGUAGUGUAUUUGUAUGUAUAUACGUAUUUAUGUAUAUAUAUAACAAUAAUGU
rnacentral:lncRNA from 1 species